CAAGGAUUGACACCACACCCGUUUUAUGUUGGGCGGCUGCACAGCCUCCAUCCCGCCGCGUGACACGGGAACUCGUGUCCCUGUCAGCAGGCAGGAGGGAAUGAGCCAUAUCCUCUGGCCACACCCCAGCGGCACCGGCUGGACUGGGGUGUGUGAGGCUGCGGUGCCCUGCAGGUGCCCUGGAGCUGCAGCAUCCUCCUGGGAGGCACACACUGGGGCACCUCCAGGUGCUGGUGGAGACACAGGAAGACACAGUGUUGAGCCUCAGCCAGAAGCACCAACAUCAGAGAUCGUGGGGAUUGUUAAUCAACUGAACUGAUCCUAUGAAUUUUUCACCAGUUCUGAGUCUCUGGACCACCCUAUUCAAUACUACAGGUCUCAGUUCUCUCCUCCGUGCAGCACUCUCCUACUCAGUGAGUUUUAAGGGAAACCAAUGUGAGCCUGGGUCACACAGCUUGGGAAAGGUUUUGCAGAGCACGUUCUAGAGUGACAUUUGGUCCCCAGGGAGGCCUGUGAGUCGCCAGACUCCUCCUGGGUGAUGGAGUUCCCUGCACUACGUCAGCCAACACCCCCAGAUGUUCUGAGCAGACGCAAAACAUGCUCUAAUGGACAUGAGGAACUGUUCCCUGAGUUACUGACUGCGAGUGCAAGGACGGGUUUCACUUCUGCUCUGGGAACAAGUGGGACUUGGCAGUAGUGCAAAGCGUGUCACUGUGGUGACCCUCUGUGCGAUAAUUCUCUAAGGAGUGGCAGUUCCAUGGAAACACCGUGUUCUGCUCUGCCCUGAGCUGCCCCAGAGAGCUGAGGGGCACCUGGGGACAUGGCUCAGUGGUGGCCUUGGCAGCGCCGUGAGUGAACCUUUGGACUGGGUGAGGGCUUUUCCAACCUACCCCAUCCUGUGACUCCGUGAUUCCAUGACUCUCUCUGAGGACACGCUGCUGUUUCCCACAUGGCCGUGCACAGAUGUUGCCAGGUGUCCCCUGCCAGCCGGGCCCUGGCAGAGCCUCAGCUCACCAGGAAUGAGAGAAGGUGACAGAAUAAAAGUAGGGGGAAACCAGUUGGUCGGUGCUUUCUGUUUCCCUCCUCUUGGCCAACUGCUAGACACAGUAAAUAGGGAAUUAGGGGCUUCUCAAUAUGUGUAUUUUUUUAUGUAAGUGCUUGGGGAUUUCUGGUCCUGGGCUUGUCUGGGAACACAGUUUUUCUGGGCUGACUGAUGCAGUCAUAGCAAUAACCUAAAUUGCAGUUUUUACUUGAAGUUUUUACAAUGUCACCUUCUCCUGGAGGGAGUUUAGAAGGGAAGGGAGCUGUGACGUGUGGUUACACUGUGGUGUUCAUGUGUGUCCACACAGGGAAUUGGAACAGUACCUGUAGUGCCAGAUUCCUGUUGGCAGAAGUAGAAAACACCUGCUUCCUCCUUUUCCAGAGGUGGUUGGUGGUCGAUGUUCCUCCUACCUGGGCUGUGUCCUCAAGCACAUCUGUUCUUUUUGUACGUAAAUCUUAACGUUCCCUUGACGUGAAACACUCAAACACUCGGUGCUGCCAUUCCUUGAACACUCCCCCUGACUUAUUCAAGGAAUAACAUUUGUUUAUCCCUGAGAAGAUACAAACAGAAUGCUUAGGG